rnacentral:rRNA from 1 species
GACGAACGCUGGCGGCGUGCCUAAUACAUGCAAGUAGAACGCACAGUUUAUACCGUAGCUUGCUACACCAUAGACUGUGAGUUGCGAACGGGUGAGUAACGCGUAGGUAACCUGCCUGGUAGCGGGGGAUAACUAUUGGAAACGAUAGCUAAUACCGCAUAAUAUUGAUUAUUGCAUGAUAAUUGAUUGAAAGAUGCUAUUGCAUCACUACCAGAUGGACCUGCGUUGUAUUAGCUAGUAGGUGAGGUAACGGCUCACCUAGGCGACGAUACAUAGCCGACCUGAGAGGGUGAUCGGCCACACUGGGACUGAGACACGGCCCAGACUCCUACGGGAGGCAGCAGUAGGGAAUCUUCGGCAAUGGACGAAAGUCUGACCGAGCAACGCCGCGUGAGUGAAGAAGGUUUUCGGAUCGUAAAGCUCUGUUGUAAGAGAAGAACGGGUGUGAGAGUGGAAAGUUCACACUGUGACGGUAUCUUACCAGAAGGGGACGGCUAACUACGUG